ACACACACACACACACACACACACACACACACACACACACACACACACACACACACAGCACGUGAACGUUUCCUGAAGAUCCUUACAGAGAUCACAGGCAGCUGCUCAGAGUUCAGACUGUGCUGAGGAAUACAGGCGCUCACACCGGAGCUCAUCAGCUGCGUAUAAACUCUUUGUCUCCGUGUGUGUUUGCACAUUUUCAUUAAAUAACUGGACCAAUCAUCAUUAAGAAACGAGGGGCGGCUGUGCCUCCUGUGUGAACUGAACGUUCCUCAGAGGUCUAUGGAGCUGCAGCCUGAGUCCAGGUAAGGAUCAGUAGCUGCUGUGAGAACGCAGAGCUGGCCACGAGGGUUUGAUGUCGCCAGGGGCCCUCAGAGGAAAUCCUGUGACUGCACAGAUCGAUGAAACUGCGAGUUUACCAGACCUGCCGUAGAUUUGGGACGCGUGAUGGCGAAGCGGAUAAAAGUGAAACAGGGUAUGAAGCUGCAGCGAGCGCUCCUCUGACGUCUGGUCGGCGUCUGCUCCACACUGUGGCUGCAGGUUAUCGCUGACUGCAGCUGCGCAGAGAUACAGACAAAAACACAACAUGACCGCGCGACACACGGCAGCGCUGAAGGACCGCAACAGGUGAGUCACAUGACCUAAAUCACACAGGGGAGCAACAACACACAGGUGUGCGUGUGCGGGACGGGUGGUGUCUGAUGCUGGAGGUCCUCGUAGAGUCCCGAUGCACACCUGGGCGUGUUCCCAGUGUGACUCUGUUUCACACUGCUUAAGGCCGUGUGGACCAUGGCGCCCCGCCGUGCCUCAUGCUCUUCGAUGACGCCUCGUACUUUAUCCGUCACACGCUGAUCAUCGUUGGCGUUCUGAGUUUCCAGGCUCGGCUUUAGAGCCGAUGUGUCGGGCUGAAGGUUGUGAAGGGAUGGAUUUUACCGCAAAUGAUGUUUUCCUAACCAAACAUUUAAUAUCACAAUGAGCAAGAGGGAAGAAGUGCAGUCCAACAUAAAGUCACCUGAGAUGUGUCCCAUGGCAUGCUGGGUAAUAUCCCUGUGACUCCUCCUCCUCAAGAUCCUUUAUUUGUCACAUGCGUGGUUAUACAAAUACAACACAUUAUAUACAUGGCUGAAUGACCUCCUCAACAUAUCUCGAAGUUCUCCAGAGGCCUGGGAAUGAACUCAUCAUGUGAUUCAGGUGUGUUGACCCAGGGUGACAUCUAAAAGCUGCAGGACACAGCUGGACACAGCUUGCUGAUGGAUCAUUUUGUGAUCUUUUCUUGUUCCACUGUCUGCCUUUGCAGAAGUAAAAUGAAAGCAUCAUUAGAACCUUUGUCUGUUUCUCUCUUUUGUCUCUUUGAAGCAGAUUUGCUGUCAGAACUGCUGUUAAAAUCCAUGUGAGAUCUGUGAGUUAAAAUGUGGACAUGCUGCAGAUAAUCCAGCUCUGCCUCAUGUUUCUGUCACUGUGGGGUCUCCUCCUGGUAAUACAAAUCAAUCAACGCCGCACUGAUACAUUUAAUGAGGCAUUAUCUCACGAAAAACCACAAUUUGCAUCUCCUCUGGAGAGAAGAGAUGAGACGGGCUUAUUACUGCGCUGCCACAGAAGCACAUUCAGGAAAGAGGAAAUAUCAAAGUGUAAUGAGAAGAUCAUGAAGUGAAGUGUGUCCUGAAAGCAGGAAGGAGCGACGCUGUGCUGCGUGUUCAAACCUCACAAACCGACCUCGAGGCCCUGAUGUCGAUUACCUAAUGUGAAGAGGAAGAUUAUUCCAAAGCUUUGGAGCCACGAUAGAGAAUCAUCAGCAGAGCGCCGUCACUCCCAGAGCGUCACAGACACCCACGACCCUGUAAACCAGCACAGGAGGUGAUCCUGAAGCAUUCACUCAGUCAGUGUGUGGACGUACUCAUAGACUGAGAUAAUGCCGCUUUCCAUCUCCUGGUGGUUCGGGCCGUAGAUCCUGUGGGUUUCUGUUUGAUUCUGCCUGAUGGUGGUCAGAGUGGAACCAGCAGAAUCAAAUGCGCACCUCGUUCAGAAGACCUGCAGUGAAACCAGUUUUUAGCUGUUCGUCAGUAAAAUCUCAGAGCUGCACGAUGAGGUGGCAGCUGUGGAGGACCGAGAGAGUUACAAUAAUCACAGUGGGAGACGAUUAAAGUGUGAAGUAGACGUUCCACUGAGUGACAGUAAAACUUUGAUUGUUGCGUUUCUGAGGUGAAGGUGACACCGAGGCUUUUAGCAGAUGAUUGGUAUUACCUGCGAUGUGCUGACGUCCUUGGAGAACGUGUAUGGAUCGAGCACUAGAACCUGCAGCUGCUGCAGCUGCUGAUGUUACCACAGCAGGAGGAAUCCUAGAAGAGCCACGCGGUUAGCGACGAAAACACGAUGAGCUCAUCCGUCUGCCUCAGUCUCGCUUCAGUCGCUGGGUAUCAUCUUACAGCAGUGUGCACAGGCAGCAAUAGCUUGGGUAGCAGAUGAACAAAGCCAGCAGCAGCUCCGUCCUUACGCUUAAAGAAGAUCAAGCAGAUGUUACAGUCUCAGAACCAAUCAGAACUGAGUAAAUCCAGAAGAAGCGGUCUGGAAGUGCGCACAGACCCGGAUGUAAAAUGAAGCCGAACGUCUGAGGAUCAGCACAGAUGUUUGUUCUGAAGAGAACAUGACAGACUGAGAGCUGCUGACAGCGACGGUGGUUAGCCGUGAAACACGACAGCUGAUGCAGGUGGUGUCUGCUGGUGCAAUGCUGAGUUUCCUUUAUUGAACAUAUAUCAAAGAUUUACACUGAUAAAACUUCAGAAAGGUGAAAUACUCUGAAAACACCUUCAACACAUCUCCUGGUUUCUUCUUCACGUGUAGGCGAUAUUUUACAGACACGAGUGCUCGGUCCUGUGGGGACGCACGGCUGUUCUCAGUUUACAGUAGAGUCAAGUUAUUCAGCCCUAAAUGAAGUAAAGUACGUGCAGUGAAGCUCAACUUCACUUUUCACCGGACAAGCAGAGAGAUACCAUCAGUCUGCCCCCUCAGCUGCCCGGAGAUACCAGCUCCACUUCCUCCCCACAGACUCUGUCAAUGAUUACUGAGUCAGCAACACACACACACACACACAAUGAGACAUUAAAGCCAAAGGGGAGUCUGAUUAACCUGAACACCCGGCGACAGAACUACUCCUCUUCCUCCUCUCUCCGUCCUGUGAGUUUCUGCUGUUGCUGCUCAUAAACAAAGACAGUCUGAAGUUGGCCUGUGGCACCCUCUGCUGGUCACUUAAAGGAUCAGAACUCUUCAUCCACCCCGAUUGCAGCGCCUACAGCCUGUGACAUCAUCCGUGACAUCAUCCGUGACAUCAUCAGUGACAACAGCAGUGUUCAGGCAUGUUUUUCAUGUCAGGACUGGAGCAUGUUCGUCCAGCCGGGCCAUCAGCAGGACCUCUGCGUGUUACUCAGGAGCCUGAACCCUCAGAAUGGCGUGGCUCUGUGAGUGAGAGUUCUGAUUGGACGGCAUGGGAACAUUACAGACAACCUCAUAGGUGUCCAGAGUUUGGUCAGCACGCUGUUCUGUGGAGCUCAGCACCGAGCUGACGGUGGGAUCAGCUCGAUAAACAUGUCAGGAACCACACGUCGCUCUCUUCAUGCGUCUAAUUUAUUCUUAGUUUCUUUCUUCGAUGUUAUUCACGCACCACAUUUGAUGGUUGUGCUGCAGACCUGUGAAGGAACAAAGAUGUCUGCAGGCUUCAUUUAGUUUGCUGAUAGUUUGUCUUUAAAAGACUAAAAACGGAUGACAAAGAGAAAACUUCAUGAGGAGACUUUUCUGUGUCCUUCACCUCCUCUGGUCUCUUUGUCUCCUGCUGACCGUCCUUGGCCUGAAGUCAAAUCUUCUCUGAAAAGCUUCUCUGUCUGCGGUCGCCCCCUCCCUCCCCCCGGCAUCGAUCCGCUGAGACGGUCCAUUACAACGUCUGCAGCACAGCGAGAGGAGGGCGAAGGUGGAGGACGAGCGAGGCCACAUGGAUUGAUGGGGAGACAAAGUGGAAGAAGAAGAGCAGGAGGGACAAAACUCCGGUCUUUUAAAUGGAUGUCCUCCUACAGGCUAAAAAUAAUGACACGCUUUAGCAGCUGCAGUUCUCCUGGCGUCCAGCAGAAGCAGCAGUGAGUCAGUCCCCACAGACCAAACGUGUUUACAGCCUGAGACACAGGCACGUGCAGA